AAUGCUUCAGAGCUCCAUUCAAAUCUCUCUUCUACAGGGGAUUUCGUGUUAUAUCUUCUUUAUACUCGUGAUAGUUGCAGUUGAUAUCCUGUAAGAUCCAAGGUCCUUGAACUUGUCCAUCGAUCCUGUGCGCCAACAACUCAAACAGGUCAUUAUCAUGCCUCAGCACCCACCGAAUCUCACAACACAAUUCCUUAUGUAUCCAGACUCGAAUCCUAGCUUGUCCACGAACUAAUGCACAAUACACCCCUUUUUGUGACUUGCCUAGAUAAAAUUUUGGAGAAUUGCCCACUUGUAUACUCAUGGGUCAUUUAAUUACUUGGUACUUGUCAUUCGACAAUGAUAUUCUGGGAAAC
rnacentral:lncRNA from 1 species